GUGAGCUGCAGAACGACGCAGAGACUCGUGCAGAAUUCGUUAAAGGCUGUCUUGUGUUUAUUGAGUUUUUUUUUCACAUGUUGGACUGCAAACUGUUCUCAUUUUAUGUCGCUUUUGAAUGGGCCUAUAUGAAUGUUUACAACAGACGGAGCGUGUUUCUCCACUGCAAAAAGUGAGUUGCUGUGUUAGUUAGCUGCCGAGACGUCGGGUCUUCCUCUGUGCAGACGACCGGAAGCUGUGGACGUGCGGAGCUCCAGCUGAUGUUGCCGGUGAGAGCCCCAAAUCAAGGACGGUCAUCUGUAUCCCUGGCGGGUGUUUGGACCUUGCUGUUCAUCGUUGCUGUGCUGCUGCAGAUUGAGAAACACAAGAGGGACUUCAACAAGUUCAUACCUGUUGCCUCCACCAUGCCUUCAAGGAUCACCACAAUCUCAAACUCCUCCUUCUCAAUUUGAGCCAUCGACAUCUCCCAGAAAGGGCUCUUCUCAUUGAUCUCGUGAGAGAUGAUAAGUGGCGACACCAGGAACAGCCGGUCGUCUCCCGUGUCAAAGCCGAUGUUUAUGUCAGUCUGGUUGAGUGGGAUGAACUCCCCCUCCUUGGUCUGCUGUGAGCGGAUCAGCUUUGCUCUGAUCGAUGCUUCCACGAUGUGAGAGUUCCUCAGGUCCCCUACCCUAAACAUCAGGCACAUCUUGUUGUCUCGCACUGAUAUGACAGCUUUGUGCGAGAACAUCAGGGUCUCGGCGCGGUUCUUUGGCUGUGAGAUCUUGACGAACAUGCAUCCAACCAUCAUUGCAUUCACAAUGGAACCCAAGAUGGCCUGCACCAAAAGUAGUAUGAUGCCUUCUGGACAUUUUUCUGUGAUUACUCGAUAACCGUACCCAAUGGUGGUCUCUGUUUCGAUGGAGAAGAGGAAGGCUGAGACAAAACUGUUUAGGUUCUCCACACAGGGGGUCCAGCCCUCCUCAUCUGCAUGCAGAAGAUCCCCACGGAUUAGUGCAAUCAGCCACCACAGGAAGCCAAAGAAAAGCCAGUUGACUACAUAGACCAAGGUGAAUAUGAAGAGACUAAGUCGCCAUCGAAGAUCCACCAGCGUGGUGAACAAGUCACUGAGGUAACGGUAGGUCUCUUGCACAUUUCCGUGAUGAACGUUGCACUUGCCGUCCUUCUGCACAUAUCGCUGACGUGGCUUCUUUGCCGGGUCGGAAAUCAAGUGGGUUCGCUCUGUUGAGAUCUGAGCCUCCCUCAAGUGUUUAGGGAGCUUCUUCACCUAUGUUGAAGUGAAUAGAAAAUAGAGAGGAAACCAAAGUCAAGGGAUGAAAGAGAAAGAUAAGAAUCAUUUUAAGUGCUUCUCAAAAUGGGUGUACUUAAUGGUAGCCACUGCGGUUUCUUUCCAUAAAUACUUUCUCUACGGUUGUAUCAAGUUUGGAUUGGGGGAUGAAGGUGUUAACCUUUUAAAUGAGAUUUCCUUUCAGUCUUUCCAAUACCACCCUGCUCUGUGCUGCUGGCAGGGAGGCAAAUAAAAUUAAGAGCUGCUAUAAAGUCACUGGUCUGUGCCUCUCCACUGUGACAUUGUAGGUGUCAGUGGAUGCAGUUUUAUAUACAGGGGAGAGGAGAAAGUAAGGACACAAUAAGGACACAAGGGCACCCAGGUCUUUGUCUAUGUUGGCUCGGCUCCAUCGAGGCGAUCUGUCCCCACAGCUGUGCCCUGCCUCUCUCCCUGUCCCCUGUGUUCCCUCCCCCCGCACCCUCUGGGACUUUGGCAGGCCUGGAUAGGAACAGAUCUUCCAUCUUUUCCCAAUGGACUCUUAUGGCAUCCUUAAAAAGAGUGGCAUAUGCCUGGGCACACGCAUUGUAUUAUGUAAAAACAACUUUCAGGCACAAACAAGUAAGAUUCUAAUAUUGUUUGUUUUAAACAUGAUAAAAAAAUAUUGACUUAUGCAAAGCCUGGGAAUGUAUUCCUGCAGGUGCUGCAUUUAGUUACCCCCCUUUUUGGAAUGGACACACACUUGAAUAUAUAGAAAAAGGGACAAACAUAUAGGAGGACAGAGCUGUCAGGCACCUUUCAAACAGACAAAGGACACAUUGGCAGCACACUGACACCCUCCAAUCUCAGCUGAUAAUCGAAAAGCAUUGUGUAGAGGCAAGAAAACACCUCUUGUGUCCUAUGAAUCUUGCUGCUAAUCGGACACCUGUGAUCUAUCUCUCUCUAGAGUCUUGCUCACAUCUGGCGUCCCGUUGUAGCUAUCCUGACUGCUCUUCCCCUCUAUCAGAAAAACGAUCACUCUCACAGUCCAGCAUGGAGAGGAAAUAAUUCAAGAUGCUAUAAUAUUGUUACAGUGUGUACAAUUGUGGAGAUGUGAUAAUAAAAUCUGUCAGAUAGGUU